rnacentral:rRNA from 1 species
CCUACGGGAGUCAGCAGUGAGGAAUAUUGGUCAAUGGACGAGAGUCUGAACCAGCCAAGUAGCGUGAAGGAUGACUGCCCUAUGGGUUGUAAACUUCUUUUAUAUGGGAAUAAAAUGUUCCACGUGUGGGAUUUUGUAUGUACCAUAUGAAUACGGAUCGGCUAACUCCGUGCCAGCAGCCGCGGUAAUACGGAGGAUCCGAGCGUUAUCCGGAUUUAUUGGGUUUAAAGGGAGCGUAGGUGGAUUGUUAAGUCAGUUGUGAAAGUUUGCGGCUCAACCGUAAAAUUGCAGUUGAAACUGGCAGUCUUGAGUACAGUAGAGGUGGGCGGAAUUCGUGGUGUAGCGGUGAAAUGCUUAGAUAUCACGAAGAACUCCGAGUGCGAAGGCAGUUCACUGGACUGCAACUGACACUGAGGCUCGAAAGUGUGGGUAUCAAACAGGAUUAGAUACCCUUGUAGUC